AUAGAGGAACUACCGUACAAUGUGCCGGAGAAUGUCCCUGUGAUCCAUGUUCACACUGCAAGGAAGGAGGUCCAAAAGUUUGUGGACCCUAUGGCAAGACAUACACUAAUGAAUGUUUUGCCAAAUGUUCGUAAGUAUAUAAUCUAAACUAUAAAUACUAUCCACAAAACACUAAGGGAUAGAGGGAGUAUUAGUAUGAUCUUCGAACCGAGAGGUUCUUUAUACGACACAAUUGUCUUGUUCUACAUUUAACCUUUCCCGUGCAAAUUCAGUCUCGUCAAGAAUGAUAAAAAGUAACUCUUACAUAAAUUUAUCGAUCAGGGUCUGACUAUUAAUCAGAUGUCUAUAGGGGGACAGUUAAAGCUUGUCUUUCUGGGUUUAAGAUACUGACACAUCGUAAAAAAGAUAAUAAAACAUACUUAGUCUCAAUUUGAGUCGUUCUUUUCAAUACUGCAAAUUAACUCAUUUUCGCACAUACUUUAUUUCGCAUCUAGCGCAUUUAUACAAUUUCGCGGUGAUUUAAUACUGCCCCACUCGGUAAAAAAUGUUCUGAUUGAAAGCAGGAUUCGCGGUAUUGUUUUAGGAGGCUGGCAGCUAUCUAUGUAAAAUUACAAAAGAGACAUUUUCUAAAUCAAUAUUAUAACUCAUAUUUUAUUUUUAUCUUAUUAAGUGGCAAGAGAUAUUUUCCAUGUAAGUAUUGUUUAUUGAUAUAUUUUAGACAACAAAAAUAUUGAUACAUUAAUUUACACAUGCCUUAAGAAAAGUAGGUAAAAGUCAUACACAAUCAAAUUUACAGCAAAAGUACUUGAGUGUGCAGAAUAAUGUAAUAUCUUUGGGUAGCUUUCUUGCUAGCUGAACCCUGAUGUCAAUAUUAAGUAAAGUAUGCUACCCUUCUUAGAGAGUAAAAUAGUAUGACAGGUAACCUAUCUGUCUAUAGGAAUACUUCGAAAGGAGUGUAGUAUACCUAAUUUUUAGUUCACAAUAUGCAUUUAAAAAUAAUCAUUUCAAAAUUGCUGUAGUCAUCAGACUAGCAUACCCAUAAACAAACUCAGUACAGUGAUCGUUUCCGUUCCUGGACUAUUUUCUUUUACUUAUUUGCGAAUCAUAGCUUUGUCGUAAAACAAGCAUUACUAGAUUCUCAAGUUCGAGAAGAAAUAAAAUAUCGUAAUAAAUACGAACGCUAGUGAAAAAUAUUUGAAAAAACACAAACAUGUUGUAUAUCGGAUGAGGUUAUCACAUAUUUCCUUCAAAUGUUCUUGCAUAUUGCAUAUUUAUGUCAAAGCGGAAAUUUGGUGGUGGAAGGAAAUGAGAAAUUAUGUUUUCAAAAUGUAUUAAGAUAAUUGUGUUUAUAUUCGGAUAAUAUAUAUCUACAUGUAAAUUAUUUUUUUUCUGUUAUAGGUCCAAGUUAUAAUGGUGGUCAUAAGCGUUAUUAAGAGCCACAGAAGAAGGCCUUAGCAUUUGUCAAUAAACUUUGAAUAACUAUGUAUUUAUUUAUUUAUUUAUUUAUUUAUUUAUUGUGUAUUUGAUU
rnacentral:lncRNA from 1 species